AAUGCCACACUCCGAGAACAAUAUCCGGCUCUAUACAACAUUGUGUGCCACAAAGGUGAUACUAUCGCCACGGUAAUGGAAUCAUUUCCGCCAAAUGUGACGUUCAGAAGAGACUUAAUUGGACCCAUACUCCAAUCGUGGAAUAUCCUGCUACAUCGGUUUUCCACGGUGCAAUUGUCACAUGGGUCUAAUGUAUUCUGAUGGAACCUCCAUGGGAAUGGACAAUUCUCAUUGGAUUCUAUGUAUAGAGCGUUAAUCCAGUCCGAUGUGCCAGUUUUUAAUAACAAGAAGAUCUGGAAGAUGAAGAUACCUCUUAAGAAUAAAAUCUUUGCAUGGCAUCUUCGUCGCGGAGUCAUUCUUACUAAAGAUAACCUUAUUAAGCGGAAUUAG
rnacentral:rRNA from 1 species